CCUAACUGGAAAGGGCUUGGAGGAGCCACCUCCCGGCUCAGUGUCCACCGUCACCGCAGAGUGGCCCCUGUGCAGGUCCCUGAUGGUGGCCGCCGAGGCCCCAGCCCUGCAGCACAGCCCUCCGUGGCUUAGGGCAGGGCUCCCCACCAGGUCCUGCAGCGUGAUGGCCAGCUGCGGGGGACCGUCCUGGGCUCUGCAGGACAGUGAGCAGCGUCCUCGACCUCUGCCUGCUAGACGCCGUUGCAUCCCUGUCCCCAAAAACGUCUCCGGGAAUGACAAAAUGUCCAUCCCAUGGGUGCAAAACAGCCCUCAGUGGGGACUCACUGGCCUGCGCCUGUCUCCCUGGCCCCAGGCUUGGUGUCCUCCCGUCCUCUUGGGGCGGGGCUGGCCUUCUGCCCACUUCCGGUCCCCAGGGGCAGGUGGAGCCCGCCCUGGCUCACGUGGUCCCCUGCGGUGGGAUGGACCUCAGCCCCCCUGGGGGCUUGUUCUUCCAGGACGGUGGCCCAGCACCACGGCGGCCCUCGUCCGUCCCUGUGCGGGGGACACACCCGCCAUGUGGGGACCCGGCCCAUGAUGACAGACACCACCCGGAGGCGGUGAGCUGCCAAGAGUCGAAGGUGUAGAGAACGAGGCCUCCGCCCGCGGUGCCCUGUGGAUUCCAUUUCUGCAUGUUUGGCGGGGACAGGCCGAGCCUCCUGUGGUUACAGCCCCGGGGACCGCGUUGGGGGGGCCUCGCCUCGUGUUUGUAUUUUAAAUUCCAUGAAAAUACCAAAGGCAUCUGCUUCUGUGGCUCCACGGCCCCGUCGUGCCGGAGCGCGGUGUUGGCCCAAAGUGCAGCCCGGGGACCAGCUCCAGGCCAGGGCCCCUGUGGCCUGUGGCCUCGUGGUCACAAGCAUCUUGCAGGACCUGCGGUUUCUAAACUGAAGAACGCCACGUGUCCCCCAGGGAGGUGGCUGACAUGUGUGCGAGGUCAGGAGCGCCGUAGUGUAGCGGCUGGACUGCAGGACUUUCUCACCAGAGCACCUCAAGGGGCCUGCGGAAGACGUGGCGGGCACCCCCAGGCCCCACGCCUCCCCCCGUCAGCUCCCUCCCUGCAGCGGGCUCCCUGAGCAGACCUAGCGCCCUGGUUCUCGCUCUUUCUGUUGGGCUUCUGCGGCUGGAAGCGGCUGCUCCCCUCGAUGCUCAAGGGCCACGCGGUGCUAAGGACAUGCACUCGGGAGGCUGCGGAGGACCUUAGUGACAGUGCCGUCAGCCAAAGCCCCAGUACCAGUGGGUCACCCCUGGGCACCGAGCUGGGUGUCGUCAGACGGAAACAGACGCAAGCAAAGCCCCACGCACACGGGUGGCCAGGCCCUGGCCAGUCUCACAGGCCCCCGACGGGGCUCCUGGGGUCCUAGUCCUAUCUGGCUUAGAAAAGGGACGUGGGGCUCCAGGUGGGCACGUGUGCUUUGGUCCCUGGGGCUCCUCACUCCACGCCGGGAAGCUGCUGGAGGAGAAGGGGAAGGAUCCGU